UACGUAGGGUGCGAGCGUUUAAUCGGAAUUACUGGGCGUAAAGCGUGCGCAGGCGGCUUCGCAAGUCAGACGUGAAAUCCCCCGGGCUUAACCUGGGAAUGGCGUUUUGAAACUACGGAGCUGGAGUAUGGCAGAGGGGGGUGGAAUUCCACGUGUAGCGGUGAAAUGCGUAGAUAUGUGGAGGAACACCGAUGGCGAAGGCAGCCCCCCUGGGCCAAUACUGACGCUCAUGCACGAAAGCGUGGGGAGCAAACAGG
rnacentral:rRNA from 1 species